GCGGGUGUCGUUCAAUGGUAGGACUCUUGCUUCCCAAGCAAACAACGCGGGUUCGAUUCCCGCUACCCGCUCCA
rnacentral:tRNA from 1 species